AAUCCCCACAUGGGUACAAUGUGUGAAACCCAUUUCUGGUGUCCCCCGUCGUGAUGUUGCUGGAAUAUUGCUAAAAGCGGCAUGAAACCAAACUCAGUCAGUAUCAUUGAAAAUUUAAUAUUUAAAGCCAUGUAAUUAAAACAACCCAUUUCCUUGGUCCCUGGAAUAAUUUAUUACAGGAAAAUUAGUUGUUUAACUUUAAAACAAUUUUUGUGCAAAGGUUUGUAGUGGAUGUUGUCUCGUAGGAACUGAUUCGCCAAGUGAGAAUACCUGUGAGAAUUUCCUCACCAGUGCUGAUUGGUAAUUUAUGUCAAUUCUCAUGGUCACUUACAGUGAAAACAAAUAUGGUGAUAUUUUGUUAAAUUCUCUUGAUUUGACGUUUAACAGUCGACAGUAUGUAAAUGGUAGCAUCAGGUGUUUCUUUGAUCAUUUUAUGACACCCGACAUUAUCAUUUAUAGAACUAAUGAAUCAUUACGUGUGUGAUUUAGCUCUCAUUAAAAUGUUAUUGUUUGAUGUCAAACAGUGAACUUUGUUAAACGUCUUUCAAGUCUCAGUGUUUAAUCACGCCAACAUUACUCACAUAUGGGUCUGCAGUUUGUGGAUUGGUGGUAUUGACAUGAUGAUUGUACAUACCUUUAGACAGAUAUGUGGCUGCUGUAGUGUCAGUGUGUACAUAUACAUGUGUAUAGUGCAAGGAAUAAACACCGUCAUAAACUG